UACGUAGGGGGCAAGCGUUGUCCGGAUUUAUUGGGCGUAAAGAGCGUGUAGGCGGCCAGGUAGGUCUGCUGUGAAAACUGGAGGCUCAACCUCCAGACGUCGACGGAAACCGUAUGGCUAGAGUCCGGAAGAGGAGAGUGGAAUUCUCGGUGUAGCGGUGAAAUGCGUAGAUAUCGAGAGGAACACCUGCGGCGAAGGCGGGUUGCUGGGCUGACACUGACGCUGAAGCGCGAAAGCUAGGGGAGCGAACGGG
rnacentral:rRNA from 1 species